CCUAAGGCGAGGCCGAAAGGCGUAGUCGAUGGAGGACAGGUUAAUAUUCCUGUACCACCUUGCUGGAGUGAUGGAGGGACGCAGUAAGUCAGGCGAGCCAACUGCUGAAUAUGUUGGUCGAAUCCCGUAGGGCGUGUCAUAGGCAAAUCCGUGACACAACAGCCUGAGAGGCGUAAGGUAUCCGGGCGCAAGUCUGGAGAAUUCGCUGUGACUACACUGACGAGAAAAGCUUCUAAACGUCGAUAGCAGGGUGUCCGUACCGUAAACCGACACAGGUAGGUGAGGCGAGUAGCCUAAGGUGCGCGAGAGAAACCAACGUUAAGGAACUCGGCAAAUCAGCCCCGUAACUUCGGAAUAAGGGGUGCCGUUUCAGGUGGAGGGAUUUACUCCCCGAGCCCGGGACGGUUGCAAUAAAGAGGCCGGUGCGACUGUUUAACAAAAACAUAGCUCUAUGCUAACUCGUAAGAGGAUGUAUAUGGAGUGACACGUGACCAAUGCCAAAAGGUCAAUGGGAGAGGUUAGCGCAAGCGAAGCUUCGAUCUGAAGCCCUGGUGAAUGUCGGCCGUAACUAUAACGGUCCUAAGGUAGCGAAAUUCCUUGUCGGGUAAGUUCCGACCUGCACGAAUCGUGUAACGAUGCCGGCACUGUCUCAACGUGGAUCUCGGCGAAGUUGUAAUUCCGGUGAAAAUGCCGGAUACCUGCGGAAGGACGGAAAGACCCCAUGAACCUUUACUGUAAUCUGAUAUUGGUAUUUGAUUGCUCUUGUGUAGCAUAGGUGGGAGGCUGUGAAGCCGCUACGCCAGUACCGGUGGAGCCACAGGUGAAAUACCACCCUGGUGCAAUUAGAUAUCUAACGGAUGCCCGUGAAUCCGGACUCCGGACCGUGUCAGAGGGUCAGUUUGACUGGGGCGGUUUCCUCCUAAAUUGUAACGGAGGAGCCCGAAGGUACACUCAGCACGGUUGGCAAUCGUGUGUAGAGCGUAAGGGUAGAAGUGUGCUUUACUGUAAGACCGACAGGUCGAGCAGUUGCGAAAGCAGGGCCUAGUGAUCCAGCGAUGGAAUGUGGAAUCGUCGUUGCUCAACGGAUAAAAGGUACUCUGGGGAUAACA
rnacentral:rRNA from 1 species